rnacentral:tRNA from 1 species
AGAGGCUUAGGAUAAUUACCAAGACCAAGAGCCUUCAAAGCCCUAAG